rnacentral:rRNA from 1 species
AUCUGGCUGCUUUGCGGUCCGAGUUGUAGUCUCGAGAAGUGGUUUCCGCGCUGGCACCUGUAUGAGUCUGUUGGAACACGGCGUCAUAGAGGGUGAGAACCCCGUUCGUGACCCGUCUACCACUGCUUUGUGAUCACUUUCGAUGAGUCGAGUUGUUUGGGAAUGCACCUCAAAUGGGGGGGUAAUUUCCAUCUAAGGCUAAUUAUGGGCGAAAAACCGAUGCCAAACAAUUACCGUGUGGGAAAAAUGAAAACCACUUUGAAAAAAAAGUUAACAGUACGUGAAAUUGUUGAAAGGGAAACGCUGGAAAUCAGACCUGCGCGGAAGUCAUACCACUGUGGGCCAGCUGCGGUUUCCAGAGCCGGAUAAAGGUUAAGGGAAGG